rnacentral:rRNA from 1 species
GACGAACCGUGCGAACGUUGUUCGGAAUCACUGGGCGUAAAGCGCGUGUAGGCGGCCCUGCAAGUCGGGUGUGAAAUCCCAUGGCUCAACCAUGGAAGUGCACUCGAAACUGCAGGGCUAGAGUCCUGGAGAGGAAGGUGGAAUGCUUGGUGUAGAGGUGAAAUUCGUAGAUAUCAAGCGGAACACCGGUGGCGAAGGCGGCCUUCUGGACAGUGACUGACGCUGAGACGCGAAAGCGUGGGGAGCAAACAGG